UGGGGAAUAUUGCACAAUGGGCGCAAGCCUGAUGCAGCCAUGCCGCGUGUGUGAAGAAGGCCUUCGGGUUGUAAAGCACUUUCAGCGGGGAGGAAGGCGAUAAGGUUAAUAACCUUGUCGAUUGACGUUACCCGCAGAAGAAGCACCGGCUAACUCCGUGCCAGCAGCCGCGGUAAUACGGAGGGUGCAAGCGUUAAUCGGAAUUACUGGGCGUAAAGCGCACGCAGGCGGUCUGUCAAGUCGGAUGUGAAAUCCCCGGGCUUAACCUGGGAACUGCAUUCGAAACUGGCAGGCUAGAGUCUAGUAGAGGGGGGUAGAAUUCCAGGUGUAGCGGUGAAAUGCGUAGAGAUCUGGAGGAAUACCGGUGGCGAAGGCGGCCCCCUGGACAAAGACUGACGCUCAGGUGCGAAAGCGUGGGGAGCAAACAGG
rnacentral:rRNA from 1 species